CCUACGGGGUGCACCAGGCGCGAAAACUUUACAAUGCGGGAAACCGUGAUAAGGGAACACCGAGUGCCAGCAUCAUAUGCUGGCUGUCCAGAUGUGUAAACUACAUCUGUUAGCAAGGGCCGGGCAAGACCGGUGCCAGCCGCCGCGGUAACACCGGCGGCCCGAGUGGUGACCGUUAUUAUUGGGUCUAAAGGGUCCGUAGCCGGUUUGGUCAGUCCUCCGGGAAAUCUGAUAGCUUAACUGUUAGGCUUUCGGGGGAUACUGCCAGGCUUGGAACCGGGAGAGGUAAGAGGUACUACAGGGGUAGGAGUGAAAUCUUGUAAUCCCUGUGAGACCACCUGUGGCGAAGGCGUCUUACCAGAACGGGUUCGACGGUGAGGGACGAAAGCUGGGGGCACGAACCGGAUUAGAUACCCGGGUAGUCC
rnacentral:rRNA from 1 species